rnacentral:rRNA from 1 species
GUGAGGAAUUUUCCGCAAUGGGCGAAAGCCUGACGGAGCAAUGCCGCGUGAAGGAUGAAGGCCUAUGGGUUGUAAACUUCUUUUCUCAGAAAAGAAUUAUGACGGUAUCUGAGGAAUAAGCAUCGGCUAACUCUGUGCCAGCAGCCGCGGUAAGACAGAGGAUGCAAGCGUUAUCCGGAAUGAUUGGGCGUAAAGCGUCUGUAGGUUGUUUAAAAAGUAUUCUGUCAAAGAUUAGGGCUUAACCCUAGAUAGGCAGAAUAAACUUUUAAGCUAGAGUUUGGUAGAGGCAGAGAGAAUUCCCGGUGGAGCGAUGAAAUGCGUAGAUAUCGGGAGGAACACCAAAGGCGAAGGCACUCUGCUGUGCCAAUACUAACACUGAGAGACGAAAGCGAGGGGAGCAAAUGGGAUUAGAAACCCGUGUAGUCC